UACAGAGGUGGCAAGCGUUGUUCGGAUUUACUGGGCGUAAAGGGUGCGUAGGUGGUCGCUCGUGUCGGGUGUGAAAGCCCACGGCUUAACCGUGGAACUGCAUUCGAAACUGGGCGACUGGAGUACAGGAAGGGAGAGCGGAAUUCUUGGUGUAGCGGUGAAAUGCGUUGAUAUCAAGAAGAACACCGGUGGCGAAGGCGGCUCUCUGGAAUGUUACUGACACUGAGGCACGAAAGCUGGGGGAGCAAACAGG
rnacentral:rRNA from 1 species